GUGUUAGCUCAGCUGGUUAGAGCGCCGGCCUGUCACGUCGGAGGUCGAGGGUUCAAGUCCCUUACAU
rnacentral:tRNA from 1 species